UUCACCUACCUGAGGUACCACCAUUCCGAGUUGUAACGCUCCGGAGGGGUGUUGCCCCCAAACACGCCCCAUCUCCAUUGGUCGAUAAGGUAGCCAAAAGGAAGGAAGGCUAUCUUCUCCAGUGCCAUCUUCAACAGACGUCACCGACUCCAGCAGUCCGAUGGUCUUCAGGUGUUUGGGCGUGGAGACGGACAGAGAGAGAACGUCGCCGAUGGCCUCGUGAAAUCCGGGAUUGGCCCCGCGACGGAACCCCACGGGUUGAUCCUUGUACUGGAGGUAAUACUGUAUGUGGCCCAUCUCAUGGUGGACGGUGAAGAGCUGCUCCAUGGUCACGGUGGUGCACUGUUUGAUCCUGCACAAGUAUUUCCCAUCACAAUCUUUCUUUGCACCAAAGCUGUCUUUAAAUCCUGAUUACCUGAAGUCCUUGCGGUUGUAAAAGUCCCAAGCAGACGCGUGACACACCACCUCACGGUCAUCGGGUUUCUCCAGCAUGGACUCGUCCCAGAAUUCUUGAGGCAUCGGGGCUAAACCCAACGAUGUGAAGAACUCCUCGGCCACACGAAACAUUUUCGUAGCGUUGUAGCCCUGCCAAACACAAAAAAAUGGCAGCGAUCUCAAAAGAACCGUUUUACUCUAAGGUGUUCGUCUCCCCUCUCUUACUUGUUUGACCAUUUCUCCAGUCACGUCCAUGUUGGGUUUGUUAGGAAAUGGUAUCAUCAAGCCGUAGAUAUUGUUCCAGGUCUGGGCCCACAUGUUUCCUGAGGGCGAGGACGAAAACACACUCAAGCAACAAUCCAUCCUUGUUAUGGGAUCGCGCUCUGGCCGGCUCCAUAGGAAAUGCCUGCUUGAAGCGUGUACGUCCACCGUGACCAGAUAAGCUGGCGCUGGAGCGUGUUGACCCCCGACCCUCCCAGAUUGCCACUAGAGUGUUGUUGUACCCAGCAGAUGAGCGGGAAUCGGGCCUCGCAGGUUGAUGUACUUGGCACCGUACUGCUUGUAGAGUUGUCGGCGCACAAAGGCGUGCAGGUGCUGAUAGAGAGGUUCGAUUGUUUUGUACAAGCCCUCGAUGACUUCCUGGAAGUUGUCCGUCUCGUACCAAGAGCGCCAGUCGGCCCCCGUGUCUUUAAAUCCUACAAAAAUAGAGAUAGAUUGUUUUAUAAUAUCUUCUCGAACUUUGUUGUAUUUUUCUCACCAUCAGCUUGUGAGGCUUUGUUGCUGAGCUGCACGAAUUUGGGGUAGUGCUCCUUGAGGGGAACACCUGACACGUUAUGCCAGCCCUCCCAAGCGUACAGAAGCUUCUUGUAGCUCCGCGACGUGGCCAUGAUGUCCCUGAGAUCUGCAAGGGACAACGUGCGAUUAGCUUUGGACAAGGGAGGCCGAAGUUCUCCUUUCCCUCCAAAGUCAGGUAUAUGAGGAGAGGAUGACAGACCAAAUGCAUGAGUCGUGUGUAUUUAUUUAUUCACGAUAAAUAAUACUCACUAUAUAAAUAAAAUAAAACAAAAUUAAAUGGACUAAAUAAUUAAACUCAUACAUACGUAAAAAUAAUGCAUAUAAAAAUUAAAAUUAAAUAUAUUCACAUAUUAAAUCACUAUUUUGAGGGUUCAAAUUCAAAUUGGAUUGGCCAAUUGAAAAAAAAAAGAAAAAAAAUGAGAGCGCUUGGGAAACACUGAGCUAUGUUGCAGACAAAACAUCAGGCCAUUGUUCCCAGUGCACCCCACAGUUCAACACUAUGAGCGCGCUGUUGUUCCAGCGUUGUACUCAACAUUCAAAACACUUCCUCUGUGAAGUUUGCCCAUCCUGUUACUCUUACAGGAACCGAUAAGAAGACUUUUUCCUCCGCGAACAACCGCCGCAAUCGAUUCUACUCACGGGGCUCCAGGCUCCAACUGACGUUUGGCUGCGGAUGCACUUUAGCCGUGGAAUAAAUACUGUCCAUGGUGCUGAGAAUUGUGUUGUACUGCGCACACAAACACACACAGGAAAUCAUCGGUCAAUCCUUUUAACACUGGAGAAUAACUCCAAAUCAUUGGAGACCAACCUUUCCUCUUUCUUCAGGAGACAAGUUAGCGGCUCCGAGAACCAUGACUUUGCCCAUCAGUUUCUUAUCUUUGGGGUCAAGCGUGUUGAGCACCUCGCUGGUGAACACCUGCUUGGCCUUCAUCCCCCAAGCCUCAGUGAAGGCCUGCUCCUCCAACGACGCAUUUACCUGAGCACACCGGGAAGGACACCCUCAAGACACAUUAUGUUGGCGCGGCGUGGCGGGGGCUCGCAUCUCCACUUGUUCUCCAAGCUUGGAGAAUUCCUGUUGUGACAGCUGUACAAGCACGGACAUCGCAAUAAAAGCCUCAGAAGAGAGAACUGACCUCAAGCACCUUGAAAACACCAACCGGCCGCUGGCGGAACUGCAGGUGACCGACAUUGGGACUGUGACAGGUUAGAGUUGCCGUCCAGGGGAUAUAAUCUGCGCGUGCGCAAUAUCUGGCGCAGCUGCCACAAAUUAGUGCAUUAAGGACGCCAUAGCUGCCAUCGACUGAAAGCCGGAGCCUGAGAUUUAACUUUACUACCACUCUACUGAAGUUUAAAAAUCAAUUUAAGCAGCAUAACUGCCCUAAAAACACUGAUCGCCACCGUGUUCGGUGACGCAUAUCCAACAUGGCGGUAAGUAGAUGACGUAACACGCGCCUUUCAAAGUCUACAGCUUUCGGACGCUUUCACCCCACGCGCUCAAACAUUUGGUGCAUUAUCUCAAACGAUGCGUAAUUUUGAUGUGAUUUUGAAGUUGUUGAUUUUUUUAUAUAUCUACAAUUUUCCAUGUCUUUCAGCGGGCAUGCGCAGAAAAAAGUAGGCAGACCCUGCGCAGAUUCAUCAAGUGCAGCUGUGCACAGGUGCGACUCACCGCGUGGGACCUUCUCAGAACUAAAACUGGAUGCAGCGAGCAGGAGAACCUCAAACUGGGGAUCCCCGCCUGUGGACAGUGACGAGAGGGGUCUCAGAAAUGAGGAGGACACUCCUAAACAUGUGAAAAAUAAGGUUGAAGAGGAGCAAUGAGGAAAGGACCAAUUCCACACCCAGUCAAGAAUCAAGCAGCAUGCCAAUGUGGACAUCAUGUGUGGGGAUCAUUUGACCAGGAGGGGGCAGUGUUGCGCUCAGGUUGCCUUUGGUUAUGGGUGCACGCCGGAAAGGUUGCCUUGAAAUGAGGGCAGGUGUUUAAGGGUCUGAUGGUGGGACUUGCUUAAGAGGUGCGCUGUGGUUGUAGUUGAGGUUGUGGCUUGUCUGGAUCCAGAGCAGCUUUGUCUUGUGCGAGGAUAGUGGUUGAAAGCCGGCCGGCGCUUUGGGGGAGGACUUAAAAUUUUGCACAUGCGAAGCCCUUUGAGACUUGACUGUGGGCAAUGGAUAUGAGCUUGACUUGACUCGGUCCGUCACACCGAUUGACACAAACAAAUCCUUGUCGUGUUUCACCCCUUUUAUGUUUCAGGUUUUGUAGAGGAACCAGCUUGGGUACCAAUAGCAGAAGCCCAAUGCCCAAGUUUGCUGUAAGAGCAGCGAUGUCUUGUGCUAGGAUUGUUUACGGCGCAUUGUAACCGUAACCGUAACGUCGUCACGUCGAUGGACACCAACAAAACUUUGACGUGGAGCUGAAUGUCCAAUUUUGCAGUAACACUUGUUGACUAUUGUAACAUUUUGUCAUUUUCUAACCUACCACUGUCGUACUUGCCUUUGUUCUCCCCUCAGUGUAGGGCGACGUUGGAGCGAGCCGGUCCUGAAUGUUCAAUUUUGCAAUAUGACUUGUAACAUUUUCUUUUUCUAGCCUACCACUGUUGUACUUGCGUUCUUUGUUUCCCCCUCGGUGUAGGGCGGCGUUGGAGCCAACUGGUCAACGAGGUGCCGGAAACACAAACAAAAUGGCGCCGAAUGUCCAAUUUUCCAAUGUGACUUGUUGACUAGUGUAACAUUUUCUUUACUGUCAUACUUGGGUUCUUUGUUCUCCCCUCGGUGUAGGGCAGUGCUUCUCAAUUAUUUUCUGUUACGCCCCCCCCUAGCAAGAAGAAAACUAUUCGCGCCCCCCCUCCCCACCGUGACUAUCCAAACUUGUCUUGUAAGUCGUAAAAUGUUGCACUGUCGCAAACGUGACAGAAGUAACAAUGAGAGCGCCACUGCCCCCUGCUGUAGUAAACGCGCAAUUACACUUUAUUCUAGUACUGCCAAAAAAAAAGCCUGUUCCCCAGGGUCACACGCGCCCCCCCAGGAAUAGCAUCGCGCCCCCCAAGGGGGGCGCGCCCCACUAUUUGAGAAGCACUGGUGUAGGGAGACGUUGGAGCGAGCCGGUCCCGAAGGUCCAAUUUUGCAAUACGACUUGCAACAUUUUGUCAUUUCCUAACCUACCACUGUCAUACUUGCGUCCUUUGUUCUCCCCUUGGUGUAGGGCGGCGUUGGCGCGAGCUGGUCCACGAGAAACCACCGGUUGAGGGUCCCCAAGACAUAAUGACGCGAGCAGCGCACAACUCAUUGCAUGUUCUGCCUUUUGCAGACUGGACGCAAAAGGGGGGGACGCACGGCCCGACCCGGCGAUGGUAACCAAGAGUAGCUAGCUGCUGUGAUCAAGUAAGCAAGUGUGACCUCGUACUUGGGGUGCUCUUUGAGUCUCGCAUUGUUUCUGCAGAUGGCGACCGGGACGCGACACGAUCGGAUCAGAAGGUGUGGCAUCACUGAAGUAUCCUGCAGCCAGCCAGGAUCUGAGGGAGACCCGCUUCCUUGGAGGCGUUGAGCUUCAAUGCGUGAAAUUGAUUUUUUUUUUCUUUUUUUAAUUCACACCAGUGGUGUCCAAACGUCUGAGUGCCGCAUACGGAAACAAAUUCGUGAUUGUUUGUGCUACUGCUACAAAACAAUGUUUAUUUAGGUCAUUCAUGUGGUGUCUUGAUAAACCUUACGUAGACAUAGCAAAAAUGAGGAUAAACUACUACUGUGUCUGAGUGAAAAUUUGAACAGAGGAUUUGACUUGUAAAUACAACUUAAUAUUUUGAUGCCGUUCAUCAGUAGUAUUUUGGCGCACCCCUAGUGGCCUGUGGGAAAUAGCCCCUAGGCUGCCGUUUGGACACUAAUGGUGACGUGUAGGGCUGCACGUGUAUUGGAAAACUGCAAUAUGGUGGUAUGUUAUUGACAUGCACUUUAAGAAAGAAAAGAUGUUUUUUUUAAUGUGACCUAAUGAAACAAGCUCUGUUUUCUUGCUUAUAAUUAUUUUAGAAGAUGACAAGUCAUUGAUGCAAGUUAACGUCUAACUGAUCACAGUCAGUUCAAAUCAUUUCUAUCACAAAUUGUUGCAUUACUUUGCUCGAUGCAAUGGUCUGGCCCAAUACUGCCAUAUCACUGGUUUUCCAAUAAGUUGUGCAGCCUUGAUUGAGUGCAAACGCGCAGCGACGUCAAGCGACCGUGCAAGCGAGACUUUUCUGCUUGUGUCUUGCAAGGUGGAAGCGAAGCUGCACAAAACGAACACCCGGCAGACUGAGGCCCCGAGCCCCGGGGUUGGCGAGCGCUAAGAAAUCACCCCAAGAAAAGCAGUCUCCAUGUGAAGAAGAGGAAGUAGCCCGAUGCAUGGCUGGCCACAGGGCUCGCUCACGUGGCGUCGGAGGGACUGGAGCAGUUCCUCAAAUGAAGAUGAGUACCAUCUGCCGGUCACUGAGUACGUUGACAGAAGUGAACCGCAUGCAACGGAGUGCUGUCUUUCUUUUUGCAGUUGUGCGAGGCAGAGGAAGGGUGCAAACGUCGAAAACCAGCCCGGAGCGGACCCGAACCUUCUGCAGACCUUAGCCCGUGACGAGCGGCCCACAUGAGGCGGGUGCAGAUGCGGCGAGGCUGGGUGGGCAAAGCAGCCAACAUUUAGGGAGAGUAUGACUUUGUUUUUUCCUUUUGCACUUUCUUGCCCUCCCUCCACUUUCUCACUGGGUGUGCACACUGUCUGUCUGCAUGAUGCUUCUCUUUCUUCCAAGUGCUGUUGUAGUGCAAUAUUGUUUUAAAGUGUUUUUUUAAUACAUAGAGUGAACUGUAAAGUUUGUACUGCAAUUGUGUGCCUCAGUACCUGAAUUAAAUUGUUAACUGAAUGCAAGUGGUCCAUUUUCAACAUUGGCCUGUGUAGUCUAGCUGUGCGUAAUGAGGUGAAUGUCAAGUAGACUGACACACAUAGAUGCAAAUGACAAGCGUGUUAAAGCGUAAAAAGUCGGCGCUGCAACCCAUGAAGUAUGUCUGUGGCAAACCUUUUUGCAACCCUGCUGUAAAAUGGCCACUGAAUUCAGAAUCUAGCGCCGUUUUGGUGCACAUUUUUUGUACGAGUAAAAGCCUUUAUUUUAUUGAAGUCCAAGCCUGUUUUUCUUUUUGCGGUUAGAUUGUCAUGCGGGGUGUUUCUGUGAAUAAAGUUAACUUUGGUGUGUUUGGUUUCUGUGGGUGGUCUUUGUAAAUAAACUUUGGUGUGUCAGUUGUCAUGCACAAUGUGCCUCAGUUGAUGCUGCAUCUCGAAUAUAAAACUAAUUACAAGUUUUGUUACAGGUCUGGAAGUCAUCAUUUGCAGUCGCAGCACGAGGAAAGCCUGUCCACUAUACAGUGGAGAGGGCUGCUAAAGUGAAUUUAUAAGCAUUACAUGCAACUUCCAGAAUCUGGGCCUUCAAUUCAAAGCACUUAGUCUCAUGUUGCGUAACAACACGGCCAACCUUGCUGCCAGUACUGUGAUAGCGCCCAGUUCAGAGUUAAGUCAGCAAAAACACGUGAGUAAAGGCCACACCGUAGCUUGUUUAGAUGGUGUUCAAGUGAGCCAGAAAGAGGUGAUCUCAUUACCGGCGUCUUUAUUAAAUUGGCUUUUGUAGACAGCUUAGUUGAAUUCCGAGGGCUGCCAUCUAAUGGUGGCAAACUUGCCCUAACCUGUCCGACGCACCAUUUACUUAUAUGCGAAAAUACUUCAUUUUUAACUUUAAACUACACUAUUAAAAAUGCUACCUGUCUCUCCAAUGCGCAUGUGUAAAAAAUACAAAGCAAUGACAUUAAUUUGCAUUACUUCUACUAAACACCUGCUACAAAUAUG